rnacentral:rRNA from 1 species
AGAGUUUGAUCCUGGCUCAGGAUGAACGCUAGCGGCAGGCUUAAUACAUGCAAGUCGAGGGGUAACAGGGAAGCUUGCUUCCGCUGACGACCGGCGCACGGGUGCGUAACGCGUAUGCAACCUACCUCUAACUGGGGAAUAGCCCCGAGAAAUCGGGAUUAAUACCUCAUAACAUUUAUCAUUCACAUGUUUGAUAAAUUAAAGUUUCGACGGUUAGAGAUGGGCAUGCGUGACAUUAGCUUGUUGGUGAGGUAACGGCUCACCAAGGCUGCGAUGUCUAGGGGUUCUGAGAGGAUUUUCCCCCACACUGGUACUGAGACACGGACCAGACUCCUACGGGAGGCAGCAGUAAGGAAUAUUGGUCAAUGGGCGAAAGCCUGAACCAGCCAUGCCGCGUGCAGGAUGACGGCCCUACGGGUUGUAAACUGCUUUUGUAUAGGAAGAAACCUCACUACGUGUAGUGGGCUGACGUACUAUACGAAUAAGCACCGCUAACU